AGUGGGACUGCUGGAUGAUAUGGUAGUUCCAUUUUUUUAUUUUUUGAGGAAUAUCCAUACUGCUUUCCAUAGUGGCUGUACCAAUUUACAUUCCCACCAACAAU
rnacentral:pre_miRNA from 1 species